AUUACAACGCAGAGGGGCGGAGAGUCUUGAGCAUUUUCUUUUUCAGCACAUUCCAGCUCACAAUGACUGAGUCCGUCCAAGCAGCAUGAACCACUUUGGAUAUUUGAUAUGGAUUUUCUUCUCUGCUUUGGGGAGUGUGUGGACUCUGCCUCAUGUGAUGAAGUAUCAAACAGUGAUCCCUCAGAGGCUGAAGAAUUCAUCUCACAUCACUAAUGCUGCCACCCAUCAGAAGUUCCCUGAUAUACUGCAGUACUCUGUAAUGAUUGCUGGACAAAAUUGCACUUUACACCUGGAGAGAAAUAAGGAGCUGAUUGGAGAAAACUUCUCUGUGACACAUUAUUCUGAGCAAGGUAUCGAACUAACAACACCUAAACUUGAGAAUCACUGCUACUACCACGGACACGUCGUGGGAGUUGACGACUCUGCUGCCAGCGUGGAGCUGUGCUCUGGGUUAAAGGGGAUUGUGCACCUCCAAGAUCAGACAUACUUGAUAGAACCCCUGGCCUCACAGCCAGCCAAUAGUGGGGCAGCCAUUAAAGGUGACAGUGAUGAGAGUCUUCAUGCAGUCUACAACUACAAACACCUGAGGAGGAAGAGGAGCUCCUGUUCCCAUGGAAACACAACCAUGUACUAUGAUCACGGCGCUCGUCCGUCUGGACUGUUCCAGCUCGGCAGUCUGAGAAGCAGAGGCCAGGCUAACGACAGAGCAAGAAAACCCAGAACAGUGGAGCUUGUUGUGGCGGUCGACAACACUGAGUACAAGAAGUUUGGUAAUAAAAUGGAAGCUCGAGUGCUUGAAAUAGCAAACCACGUUGACCGGCUCUAUCGUCCCGUGGGUAUCCGUGUGAUGUUGGUCGGCCUUGAUAUCUGGUCGUACAAAGAUCAAAUAGAGGUCAGCACCAAUCCAGAGCAAACGCUCAUCCGCUUUCUCGAAUGGCGCCAGCGAAAACUCCUGCCGAGGACGAAACACGACAACGCUCAAUUCAUCACAGGGUUGGAUUUCGAAGGCACCACAGUGGGUCUCGCCAACACAAAUGCAAUGUGUACCUCUAGUUCGGGAGCUGUCAACGAGGACCAUAACAUUAAUGCUAUAGGAGUGGCCUCUACUAUCGCCCACGAGAUGGGUCACAACUUGGGCUUGUCUCAUGAUACAGAAAACUGUAUCUGUGGCUCUUUGAAAACGAAAAAAGGCUGCAUUAUGGCAGAGAGUGUUGGUGCCGUGUAUCCAGAGAUGUUCAGCAGCUGCAGCUUGCAGCAGCUCUACAGGUUCUUGGACGAGAUCAACCCAGCCUGUCUUUUGGAUACCCCCUCUGCUGAUCGCAUCUACGGUGGUCCGGUGUGCGGCAAUGCCUUCUUGGAGCUUGGAGAGGAGUGUGACUGUGGAACCGUAGAGGAAUGCAAAAAUCCCUGCUGCAACGCUCAAAACUGCAAACUUAACACAGGAGCCCAAUGUGCUGAGGGGGAAUGUUGCCACAACUGUCAAUUGAAAGCGUCAGGCAGCGUCUGUCGGCCAAAGACAGGAAACUGCGACUUGGCAGAGCACUGCAGUGGACUGUCCGCCUCCUGUCCUCCCGACGCCUACGCUCAGAACGGCCUGUCGUGCAAUCGUGGGAAAGGAUACUGCUACAACGGACAGUGUCCAUCGCGACAGCAACAUUGCAAGAGACUUUGGGGACCUGAUGCUGAAGUCGCUGCAGAUGCUUGUUUCUUCCAGUAUGGAGGUUGCCGAAAGACACUGUUUAUGCACAGAUGUUUUGGCCAGGAGCAAUCAUGCGGGACACUUUUCUGCUCGGGAGGGUGGGAGUUCCCAGUAACAUCCAGGAAGUCUUUUUACAAAGUAGGAAGCGAGGAAUGUAACGAAGCGACCAUGAACCCUGAAGACAACUACCCUGCAGACCUGGGCAUGGUGCAGACUGGAACCAAGUGUGGCAACAACAUGGUAUGCUACAGCCACCGAUGCCAUGACAUUAGAAAUAUAAGAGCAUAUGGAGCCACUGACUGCUCUGCAAAAUGCAGCAACCAUGGGGUUUGUAACCAUCAAAACAAGUGUCACUGUGAUCCUGGUUGGGCUCCACCUUACUGUGAUGUGCUGGAGUCUGAAGUAACUGAAGGCAGUGGACUGGGGCUUAGUGUGUCACUGGUUGUAAGCUUGCUCAUAUUCUUGGCCCUCUUCACUGGAGGAUUCAUGUGCUGCAGCCCGAAAAUGCAACAUGCAAAGAGAUACCUCCAGUCUACCUCAGGACAGACAAAUCCUUUAUUUCAAUCAGGCAUUUCACGAGGCAGCCCUCAUCUUCACGCCACAGCAAUCAGCCAGCCAACAUUUGUGGAGUCCUCGGCCACUCAAGUUUGUAAACCGCUGUCCGUCUCCAUGGUGGUACCAUCGAAUGUGUCGUUGAAGCCCUGCAGAAUAGCUCCUGAGCCCCCCAGAAAGGAACCAACUGUGCCUCAGCCUUCAAAAAUCCAACAGGGUUUAAGACCACUCUUGCAACCACCAGCAGUGCCAAGCAAGCCGGUCUACUCUGAGGCUCGGCCUCUUGCUCCGUCCAGACCUCUACCGCCGCUUACAUCCAAACCAAUAACAAAGCCAAAACCUGUCACACCUCCAGUGAAGCCAAAGCCUGUCGUCAUCCCUUCACAGCUGCCUCACACUCAGCUGUUCUUGACUGGUUCGCUGCGUCACUAGGAAGUGAAGUUACGUUGCAGAACGAAUCAUCCCAGCAAUCUCGGUCAGGACAGAAUUGCAGGGAGAGCUGCCCUGACUCCAAUCAGUAAACCUAGAUGACCAUGGGAACUGUUCUGUUUCUGAAAUCCUCAGACGUUGAUGCUCUUAUCUCAUCUAUAAGGACUUAAAAAACAAACAAACAAGAAAAAAAAAAGUUCAGGCACAAUUGGUGUAGGUUCUUCCGGGGACAAGAUCCAGCUGAAGGAUCAACAACAAAAAUAAGAGACGGAGUGCUUUUUUUUCCUAUGCCGUGAGGAUUACCACCAUCUGCCUUGCUUCUUUUUAAUUUUGGGAUUGACAGAUCUAAUGGAUGUGCCACCAUGACGACGAUGAUGAUGAUCUGUUUGAAGGGAAAUGUCUCGCCUACUCGAUCCUGAGAUAUGUGAACAAGUCUUUAUGAUUGCACUGCUGAUGCUGUAACUCUUUUCACAUUUUUGGUACUACGAGAAGUUAAGGGAUUUUUAAAUGCGGCACCAACUUGGGCACUUUAAAGAAUUUUGUAUGAAAAGGACAGAACGCGAUUAACAUGAAUUUGCCUUGAAUCCUUUUUUGGAACUAUAUGAAUGUAUGAUUUUGCGCUCGACGAUUGUCUUUUUCACAUAUCGACGAAUCAAUUUUAACUUCUCAAGGGAUUUUUAAAAAUUGUAUAUUCUAUGCAGUACACAUCACCACAUAAUGUGUAAUAACUCAUUCCUUACAACGACGACUCAAAUUUCAAUCCGAGUUUAAUUUAUACCGUAUUUAUAAAGACCAUCUGUGCAUGCUUGUGUUUGAAUAAAAUUGAAAACCACUUGAGUUUUCCUUGUGGCUCCAAAAUGACAUCACACGGCACAGUUUCUCAAACACAGGCAAUUUAUUGAGCUUUAUCCAUUGCCGUGAAAACUACAAGAUCGUAAACAUAAAAUCUUAGACACUUAAACAUAGGACUGACGUGCUAAAAGGCAAAUCAAGCUAACCUGCGAACCAAGCGAUAAAUAAAAACAAUUACCAUGUCAAAUAUCUACAAACAAAUAAUUCCCAACGUGAAUUAGACAACUUUAAACAAAAUACUCGUCCUUUAACAAAACAAAAUACUAAAACUUUAUUUUAAUGUAAGAACCAUUUUAAUGACUGUUACGCUCCCACCAAAAUUGUUUUUUCAAUGUGGUUUCUAAAACGUGUCCUUGUUUGAGUGUGAGUCUGGCAGUGCCUCCCCUGGUGGCUGAAAAAUGUCAUUGCAUGUAACUGACUUUCUUAUAAAUGAAUUCAAAGGGGAAGUUCAGAAUUUUUGACACGAGGCUUAAUCUUCGAGUUAGCAGCAGUUUAAUUACUCAGCGGAGUUUAUUUCAACAAAUUCUGUGCAGUUUGUUAGUUUCAGGGCUUACCAUUACCAUUAAUCAUCAAUUAAUCAUCAAUAAUUGUAGUAUGAAAAGCAAUAUUUGUAAUCCAGCAGCUCUGCAGGGAACAGGCUGUCUAGGCAAGCAGGGCGGAAUAAUAAUAUAUUGUUUUUUCCACCGCUAAUCUUUUUUUUUUUUUGUGGGUACGAAAGGUAACUCCCCAGCAGACUGAGCACGAGUGGCCUAAGCACUCCUCUCUAUUGUGGUCGCAUUAUGCAUCUGAACAAAUAGUCCCGCAGAAUGAAAUAAAUUACGACAGUUUGGUGUAACAUUAUUUUGACAGCAUGGGUAUUUGGAUUAAUGAUCUGCAUUUUUAAUUUAUCUGACUUUGAUCAGUGUUGUUAAUAACGGCAUUAAAAUAUAACGGCGUUACUAACAGCGUUAUUUUCUUAAGUAGUGAGUAAUCUAAUUAAUUACUUCUCUCAUUUUGGCAAUGCCGUUACCGUUACUGAGACGGGAAAGGCGUGCGUUACUAUGAGACGAGAAAAGUCUUGAGAAAGACUGAUCCACAGAGACGAGAGAGCAGAGCAGGAGUGGGGAAGAGGCAAGGGAGUGUGACAUCGUUGCAAACGCAAUGCUACUAUGCUAGGUGGCUCCAAUAAUACCUGACUGUAGCAGAUAGCCUACAAACUAUCCCCACAUGAUGCUACGGUAGAUAUCAAAUAUAUACAGAACUAGAUGCAAAUGACAGACACGGCAGCAUUAGCAACAUGUAUAAAGAACUAGAUGCGUUAGUAAACAGCCGCCAUCUUAAAGCAGUAGACUUCUAUGGAAGGCUCUGUUGUAGAGAACCUUCCUAGCCUAGCGAACCUAAGUAACUUUUUAACUAAAAUGCUCCUAAAUUGGCAAAACUUAAAGUGCGUACGACAGGAGAAAAAAAAGUCUUAAAUAGGAUUAUUAUGUCAACUAGAAUCACAUUUUGAGACGAUUCGACUAUAUACAACAAUUUAGCAAAGCGCAGAUGACGAGAAAUUAGUCUUUUAAUCUGCCGGUUAGCCACGCCUACCAUUAUAGGGCUCUAGCAUCCCCAGCAGGUGGAUGACAUCAGCAGAGUAACGAUUUCAUCUGAUUUAGUAUGCAGCCCAUUGAGGGGGAAUUAUUCAGAACGAGGAAAACACGACCAAGAAAGCCGCAAAAUGUCAUUGUUUCAGUCUCUCUACCUCAAUAUUUUUACAGGAUAUGCUUUUUAUCCAAGUAUUUUUCCCCAAUAGCUAAAUAAAUGGCAUGGUCAUGACAAAUAACAGUCUUGUGCUAAAUGGAAGAUGAAAUAAUAAAAAAUGCAUUUAUUCAGGACGACAUGGCAAAAUUACUCCAUAAUGGUCAAAACUGUCGACUUCACCUUUACUGUCGCACCUCCCGAACAAUGUUUUAUGCCACCUAAGUCGGGCUUAUGUCAUUUCCCUUCCCUGGCUUCGGAGAAUGUAAACAAACCAAGAGGCAUGACAGCUAGCCGACAUGCUAACCGGAACCAAGUGAAGUUUCAAAGUUUCAAAGUCUUCAAAGCGGAAAAUCACACAUAACUAGCCCGGAUCAUUUCACAUGACGACUGGGUUGUCGAUCGUCUUCGCUGAUCGGCAACCCGCCCGGCGGCGAACAAGUUAGAGCUCGUCAUUCCCCUGCUGAGGGUAGAGGGCUCGUUUGCGGGGAAGCAGCUGGACAAUGACCGCCGGACAAACCGGCCGACAUCGGAGGAGCAUGUAGCUGCCAAAUGGUUAACACGAAUAUGGCAAAAUAAUAUUUUACUACACGGCGAAGUCGUAAACAGCGAGAGACUCAGUGGAGGAGGGCGGCUGCAGUUGUCAUGCAGCUAACAUGACAAUAUGUGUAUGACGAGAGCUUUUUACAUGCCCAUCCAUGAUCAAACGUAAGUAGUCCUUUAUUGAAAGAAAGUUUGUGUUUGCUUUGUAAUCCCUGUAUUCCCGGCUAUUUUUAACACAAAGUUGCAAUUUCUGAUCGGUUGGAAAAUUUGGCAGAACACCGGACACAUGAAGAGGGCAAUAAGCAGAGUAUAGUGCUCUCCCGGCGGGGAGAUGUGCGACAAGCCGCCGGUCGUCGGCCGAGGGGACAAGUAGCAUGUCAGCCACAAAAUGCAAGCCACCUACAUAUUAAAACAAUCCCAGUAUUUGACAUAAUGCAAAACACAAUGUUUACUCACUUCCUCGUAAGUCCCAUGGUCCCACAAUAGUAGGGCUUGUUUUGGCCAAUAUCCACCGGUGAAUGUGAACCUCUUGAAACCCCAAAAAGGCGCACGCGCUCAUACAGCAAGAUUUUUCUGCAGCCGUUUAGCUGGCGUGAUGCGAAAAAUAAACGAAUUAAUCCGCAAAAUCAGCUGAAUCCUUAGUCCUUCUCAUCAACAGUACGGCUGUAUAGUGAAGAGGACUCCUUCUCCCGUACACGUCACAGUGCCCUCUUCCUCAAUGCAAGAACGAAGCCGGAAGUUGUCAUUUUCGUAGCGCGGGUUUCAAAAAAAUUGAAAAAAUAUAUCGAUCACUUCUUCACACACCCAAGUGGCCCAUUUCAUUCAGGAGCAUAAAAUACUGCUUGUAUUAUGAAAUAAACAUGCUUUUUCGUGUCACAGACACUUUAAAUCUCUCUUUAAAUGAUGAAACAGUUUUAAAACUAACACAUGUUGAAAGUAGAAAGAAGGGAACUAAUGCAAUAACGGGAGCAAUUUUAACAACUUUAACGGUGGAUUCACAACAUUAAAGGACUUCCAUACAUAGCAAAGGCUACUAUCUAGUUAUCGCAAUAUCCGCAAUACGCCAGUGUCUAGUUAAGUUUAGGGUAAAGAAUUGGGCUAGGGCCAAUUGUCCCAAAAACCCUUUAAACUUCACAUUGUGUGACCUGUUUUUUGUUGUUGUUUUUUUUCUUUUUUUGGAGAAAAAACAUCACCAGUUACUUUGCCAAGGAACUAAUUACUCUUACAUUGAGGUAACUGAGUUACUAACGCAAUUACUUUUUGGGAGAAGUAAUUCGUAACUGUAACAAAACAACAACACAUCACAGUAAAAGUCAAAACAGCAAAUAAAACAGAUAAAAUCCGAAAACUUUAAAACCCAUAAGAAAUAAAAAUCACUCUGGAGAAAAAGCGAGUCUGAAAAAGUGGGUCUUUAACCGUGAUUUAAAAAGGCCUAGAUUCGUAAUGGUGCGGAUUUAAGGGGGCAGGCUAUAUACUAGUAUGUCACAAUAUCAUUUACUUGCAGGUUUCGUGAAACUUUCUGUCGUUGUUGGAGAGUUAAAAGGUAUUCUCUCCUCCAUCUUUGCCAAAAUUCAUUUGCCAGAAACUGGACCCUUUUCCAUCUUUUGAUCAAAUACUUCUUUGCAAAACUGUCCUGGAGAAGGUAGAAUAUCCCUGCUAAAGCAUCUGCUCCGGUGACCCGACCCCGGAUUAACCUCGAAUUCACACCGCCUGCGGCUGCGACAAUAUUGGCUGCGUUCACGACGUUGUAAGCAGGGCCGGAGUGGGACUCAUUUUCGGCCCUGGAAUUUCAUGCCUCAGACCGGCCCACUCAUUUAAAAUUAUGUCAUUAUGCAUACACGUGUUAAGUUCAGUGUUCUCUAAAGCCGUGUACUGUAAUUCUGUGUAUUCCAAUUCAGUGCAGGUCAUGGUUGUUUAACAAGGUGGCUUUAUUUUAACAAGUGCAACACAACAUAUUUUGAACAAAUUUAAAAAUGGAUUUAAAAAAAAACUAUAUUAAAUGAUACAUUUGAAAAAUAAAUUAGGCCUGUCAAAUGAUAAAAAUUUUUGAUCGAGUUAAUUACAGCUUAAAAAUUAAUCGUAAUUAAUCGCAAUUCAAACCAUCUAUAAAAUAUGCCAUAUUUUUCUGUAAAUUAUUGUUGGAAUGGAAAGAUGAGACACAAGAUGGAUAUAUACAUUCAACAUAAGGUACAUAAGGACUGUAUUUGUUUAUUAUAACAAUAAAUCAACAAGAUGGCAUUAACAUUAUUAACAUUCUGUUAAAGCGAUCCAUGGAUAGAAAGACUUGUAGUUCUUAAAAGAUAAAUGUUUGUACAAGCUAUAGAAAUUUUAAUUUAAAACCCCUCUUAAUGUUUUCGUUUUAAUAAAAUUUGUAAAAUUUUCAAUCAAAAAAUAAACUAGUAGCCCGCCAUUGUUGAUGUCAAUAAUUACUUACACAAUGCUCAUGGGUGCUGAAGCCUAUAAAAUCAGUCGCACCCAAGCGCCAGCGGAGGGCGGCAAAACUCCAUAAAGCACAAUUAACAAGUGGGCAUGUCAUUGUACUGUCAUUUAAAUCUGUCUGAGCAGGGCAUGUGCGUUAAUUGCGUCAAAUAUUUUAACGUGAUUCAUUUAAAAAAUUAAUUACCGCCCGUUAACGCGAUAAUUUUGGCAGCCCCAAAAUAAAUGAAUAAAUAAGACCUUUUCUGCAACAUCAAAUAUUAACAAAAUGAGUGCUUACAGAUAAAACAAACAUAGCAACAUAACAAUAUGAAAAAUAAAGAAUACGUAUUGCACAUUGUAACAACUUCUAAUGAUACUAUUAUCCAUUUUCCAUUUCCACUUUAAAAACGCCACGUAAUUGAUUAUAUUAAUUCUAAUGUUCACUCGCUGAACGACAUGGCAAUCCUACCUUCCAGCUCUGCACCUGUGGUGUGUUCAUUAUGGCUAAUGCUUGCUGCUACAUAUCCCUUGUGAGGUGCUACAAGAAGCCAAAGUUUCCACAAUUACAUAUUGUCGUAUCACACGGUGCAAGUUGCAUUUUAUUCGCCAUGUGGCCUUACCACUUUCGUUGUAAUCCUCUGUAGUUUGAGGCAGCAAGGUCGUUGCAUGAAAAAAAUUAGCUAUUUUCGCGCAUUUUGCCGAUUCUUUCACGAGUGCUUUUCUCUUUUUAAUUCUUAUUUUUCAGCGCCACCCUUGCUCUUUUUAUCCAUCCGAGCACCGAGAUAGCAGCUAAUUUGGCUCAAUACAGACUACAAUUAGGGGGCGGAGGUGCAUGCUGUAUUUUUCGUCUGCACACGUGAGGAUGAGUCUGGAAAAAAAAAUAAUACUGUUUUUUUUUUUUUAAGACGGCCCACAGGGACAGCGGUAACAGAAUGUAAGUUAUACUCAGUGACACUGUCAUAAAUAAAUACCAAACAAAAAAUGAUAACAGUGUAAUUUUUUUUUUUUUUUUUUUUUUUU